CGCGAUUCGCCCUUCGGGGUGCAGCAGGCGCGAAAACUCUACAAUGCAGGCAACUGCGAUAGGGGAACAUCGAGUGAUCCUCAUAUUGGGGGUCUGUCCACCCGCCUAAAAAGCGGGUGUUAGCAAGGGCCGGGCAAGACCGGUGCCAGCCGCCGCGGUAAUACCGGCGGCUCGAGUGGUGGCCGAUAUUAUUGAGUCUAAAGGGUCCGUAGCCGGCUUUGCAAGUCUCUCGGGAAAUCCAGCGGCUUAACCGUUGGUCGUCCGGGGGGUACUACAUUGCUUGGGACUGGGAGAGGUAGGAGGUACUCAGGGGGUAGGAGUGAAAUCCUGUAAUCCUUUGGGGACCACCGGUGGCGAAGGCGUCCUACCAGAACAGGUCCGACGGUGAGGGACGAAAGCUAGGGGCACGAACCGGAUUAGAUACCCGGGUAGUCCUAGCCGUAAACGAUGCUCGCUAGGUGUCACAACAGUCGUGAACUGUUGUGGUGCCGUAGGGAAGCCGUGAAGCGAGCCACUUGGGAAGUACGACCGCAAGGUUGAAACUUAAAGGAAUUGGCGGGGGAGCAC
rnacentral:rRNA from 1 species